rnacentral:snoRNA from 1 species
AAACCAUGGUGUGGACAUUGAGAUUGGUAGCCCUUGAAUCUCUCUCAGGCUUCACUGAAGCCUUCCAAGUUCUUCUGUUGAAAGCUGGAAAUCUCAUUUCUCAGCUU